rfam:Ictidomys tridecemlineatus contig099260, whole genome shotgun sequence.
GCUCUCUCUCUUACAUCCCUUGCAUGGUGGAGGGUGUACUUUCUGAAAACCCCUCCCACAUGCAGGGUUUGCAGGAUGGUGAGC